UACGGAGGGAGCUAGCGUUGUUCGGAAUUACUGGGCGUAAAGCGCGCGUAGGCGGUUUCUCAAGUCAGAGGUGAAAGCCCGGGGCUCAACCCCGGAACUGCCUUUGAAACUAGGAGACUGGAAUCUUGGAGAGGUCAGUGGAAUUCCGAGUGUAGAGGUGAAAUUCGUAGAUAUUCGGAAGAACACCAGUGGCGAAGGCGACUGACUGGACAAGUAUUGACGCUGAGGUGCGAAAGCGUGGGGAGCAAACAGG
rnacentral:rRNA from 1 species